rnacentral:rRNA from 1 species
UGAGUAACUGCGCUCCUGAGCUGUUGUACCGGUUUUCCAUGGUUUGCUUUAAUCGGCAGGCUGUGGUGGCUGGUGUGUUUACCUUGAAUAAAUCAAAAUGCUCAAGAUAGGCGUCUCGCCUGAAUGACAGUGCAUGGGAAUAAUGGAAUAAGACUUCGGUUUAUUCUGUUGGUCUUGGAACCGAUGUAAUGGUUAAGAGGGACUGACGGGGGCAUUUGUAUCGAUGCGUGAGAGGUGAAAUUCUUGGACCGCAUCGAGACAAACUACUGCGAAAGCAUUUGCCAAGAAUGUCUUCAUUAAUCAAGAACGAAAGUCAGAGGAUCGAAGGCGAUUAGAUACCGCCCUAGUUCUGACCGUAAACGAUGCCAACUAGCGAUCAGGCGGUGGCUAUUAAACCCUGCCUGGGAGCUUCCCGGAAACGAAAGUCUUCGGGUUCCGGGGGUAGUAUGGUUGCAAAGCUGAAACUUAAAGGAAUUGACGGAAGGGCACCACCAGGAGUGGAGCCUGCGGCUUAAUUUGACUCAACACGGGAAAACUCACCCGGCCCGGACACUGUAAUGAUUGACAGAUUGAGAGUUCUUUCUUGAUUCGGUGGUUGGUGGUGCAUGGCCGUUCUUAGUUGGUGGAGUGAUUUGUCUGGUUUAUUCCGAUAACGAACGAGACUCUAACCUGCUAAAUAGUUCUGCAGUAGCUUCGCUGCAGCAACUUCUUAGAGGGAUCAGUGG